UUCUGCUGGAUUUUACCCCAUUGGCUACCAUUUUGCAGUGUUUUUCCUUUAUAUAAAAGAACCUCAUUAUUUCUAUAUGGUUUCUCAGUUGUUCACAUCUUCCUCAAAUGGACUCUGGCAUAGAGGUAUCCAACUCACAACCUAUGGAUGUGGCCCCAAGAGAUCCAUUUCUUUUUGAGUUUGAUAACACCAACAUAGAGGAAAAAAUAUAGGACAUAGAGUGUAUCUAGGGUCAAAUUGGAGCUUUGUCACUUCAACUUGUGUGAUUGAGGUUAUGUGAUUUCUGAUCAAUACGUUUGAGAUUUCUCAUCUAUAUAAAAUGAGGGGAUGGCACAAGUUGACAUCCAGUGUUACUUCCAAAUCUACAUCAGGGAAACUUCAACUCCUUACAAGACAAAUCAUGUAUUAGUUGUGUUUAAUGUAGAGGAGGAAGCGGUAGAGAGAUGAUACCAUGCCACAUGCACAAAACUUUUAACUUAAUUGACUUCCAUUUCUUGUUUGUUUCUUUUUUUUAACAUAAAAGUCAGGUUAGGUUAUACCUAUUCUCUUCGAUAUAUUCCAACAUAGACAUGUGCCCUAUAAAAAACCAAAGUUCCUUUAACAUAUGGCUUUAUCUUUCUUAUGGAAUUGAAAUUUAUGAAUUGUUAUAGUGUGUUUCUCUUUAGGUAACUUUUUGCAUCAUAAUAGAAUGUAUUUUGUGCUUUAAUUAUUUCCCUCUCAAAUCUUGGAUGAUUCUAGCAAUGUCCAAGGAUACAAUUGGAGGAACUUCUUUUGUUUUAAAAAACAUGAUAAACAAGUACAGAAUGUGCGCAAGCAGGAAGAAACUGACCUAAAGCUGCUGGUGUCUGACUGGACAGAAACUCAAGUUGGCCAUUGGUUAAAGAGUAUUGGAAUGAAAAAAUAUAUCCUGAAAUUUGAUUAUAAAAGAAUAAGAGGUCAAGAACUUCUUGAAUUAGACAAUGAUGCAUUAAAAUGCAUUGGCAUCACUAAGAAGAGAGAUCGCAAGAAAAUCCUUAAGGGAAUUAAGAAAAUUCAACAGACAGAAAAAAAUUAAUACAAUCUAACAAUCAAAUAUAUCAAAAAGAUAAUUCUGGAAGAUACAGCAAAAAUGAGAAAAAUAUAAUUACAUGAUAUUUACCUUUAAUCUACUACUUCAACAUAUUAUUGAAACCUUCUGAUUCUUCUGCCAUGAAUCUAGCACACAUUUACUGAGGAGCAGUGAUGGAUGGAAUGACCAUAUAAGCCAAGAGAUUUUGGUGGACCACUGAUCAAGGUGUUCCAAAGAUGAUCAUUCAUUCACUCAUUUCUGCCUUAGCCUGAAAAAGAGCAUCCUGUUUGUUGCACUCUGGAUUCCUUUUUUAUCUUUGGUCCUAGGCUUUUCAGCCUUUGUCUACCAAUUCUUAUGUUGUGUAUACCUUAGAGAAUAAUUACCAUGAUGUAUAUCCCCAAUUAAUUCACUAUGCAAUUUUGAAAAUAAAAACUCUGUCUGCUCUUUGAUGCCUACCUUCCAUUAGGAGAGAAAGUUGAUUUACCCCAAUCCACAUAGAAUUGGGUCAGAAAAAAGAAUAUCAACGUUUGUUGCCCAAAUAACAAAAAUCAAUCAGUAGAAUUAUAAUCAUAGAAAAAGAAAAAAAGAGCUGCAAUCUCAUAAAACUUUCAUGACUCAUUGACAUUAUAUCUUGUUUUUUUUUUCAGAAAAAUGGUUCAAAUUAUAAGAAAUUUUCAGGAACUACAACUAAAUUGUUAAAUAUACAUAGAGGACAGUAACCUUAUAGAAUAAUUCUUUGACAAGUAAUUAAGAGGUCUGCAAUUUGUUUUAAGUAUAUGCAAUUUUAAACAUUUUAGUGAAUACCUCUGAGAGUCAGUAAAGUCAUCUCUAAAAUGAAAGCAACUACAUUAGUUGAUUGUUUCUAGCUCUAUGGUUGUUUCUAGCUCUCAUCUUAUCAAGAAUGUCUCCAUGCCUCUCUCAGUAUCUAUUUUUACUUCUGCCUUUCUCUGUUUCUUAGAAUAAUUCAAUAAUGAAAACAACAAAGGAACAGGACAUAUUGAAAACAAUGAUUGUUCUAUGUACUGUAUGCCUGGGUCCAAAUGUUGUAUCUGAAGCUUGUUUACUAUCUGUUACAAUGAACUAUCUCCUUGGUUUUUAGUUUCUUCAUAUGUGAAUUGAAAGCAUUGUUUUUGUAGUUGGGAUUCAGCAAUUUCUAACAUAACUUCCUUUAUGACACCAUAACACAAUCAAAAUAAUAAUUAAAGGACUAUAAGCAAAGUACACAAUAAAGGGAGGCCCCUCAAACAACAAAUUAUAUGAUUUAAGUAUAGGGUGAUGGAUAAUGAUGAUAAUAAAAUAGCAUAGCAAAAUUUCUGCAUUGAUGAUGCUUGGAUGAUUCUCACUGAAAAAAUUAUGUCCUAAAAUUGACAGAGAGUUAAGAUGAAGUAAGUGGACAGCACAUUAAAAAUAGAAAAUCAAUACACAUGUUAGCUAAACCUAACAUGUACAAAAACUUUUAAUUAGAAAAGACACAGAGAAACAAAAUGUUCCACAAAGUGGUAAACAAAAUGAAAAACUGAUUCUUCAAAAGUGCCAGAAAAAAGGUUAGAUCUUGAGCCCUAACAAACCAAAAGUGAUGUGGAAUAAAAUGUGAAAUUGAAUAAGAAACAAGAACAGGAAUGUCAGAAGCCAUAAAAAUCAUCCCUAUAUCUCCUUGAUAUUACUUGGUUGUAUCCCAGAUUACCUUUGUUUCCUGCCAAAACAAAUGAAAACCCAAGAGACACAUUACCUACCAGUAACCACAUAAAUGAUCCAAAUGUAUGUAAUACUCUUUACAAAUCUGAAACAAACUAACUCAGAAAAGAGAACUGAUCUCUGGAGAAAGUAACAAAAAAUUAUUAUUUCAAAAAGAGAUCAUUUUUUUCCAUAUGAAUUUUUUUCAGAAAAUAUAGUUUUUCCAGGUAACUUUAGGAAUUAUGAAGCAAGUAAGUUAUAGACUAAUUAAUGCUAUUCAUACAUACUGAUUUUUUAAAAAUAAUAUUUUAUUUGAUCCUUUCCAAGCAUUAUUCAUUAAAGACAAAGAUCAUUUUCUUUUCCUCCCCGCACCCCCCAUAGCCGACACGUGAUUCCAGUGGGUGUCACAUGUGUUCUUGAUUCGAACCCAUUUCCAUAUUGUCAAUAUUUCCAUUAGAGUUUCGUUUAGAGUCUGUCCUCUGUCAUGUCCCCUCAACUGCUGUAGUCAGGAAUUUGCUUUUCCUCGGUGUUUCCACUCCCAUAGUUUAUCCUUUGCUUAUGAAUAGUGUUUUUUCUCCUAGAUCCCUGCAGAUUGUUUCGGGCCAUUACACCACCAGCAAUGGAGACCUCCAUUACAUUCAAUUAUACCACAGUGUAUUAGUCUCUGUGUACAAUGUUCUCCUGGUUCUGCUCCUCUCGCUCUGCAUCACUUCCUGGAGGUUGUUCCAGUCUCCAUGGAAUUCCUCCACUUUAUUAUUCCUUUUUGCACAAUAGUAUUCCAUCACCAACAUAUACCACAAUUUGUUCAGCCAUUCCCCAAUUGAAGGGCAUCCCCUCAUUUUCCAAUUUUUUUUUUCAGAAAAUAUAGU